rnacentral:rRNA from 1 species
AUCCUACGGGGCGCAGCAGUGGGGAAUAUUGCACAAUGGGGGAAACCCUGAUGCAGCAACGCCGCGUGAAGGAAGACGGUUUUCGGAUUGUAAACUUCUGUUCUUAGUGAAGAAGAAUGACGGUAGCUAAGGAGCAAGCCACGGCUAACUACGUGCCAGCAGCCGCGGUAAUACGUAGGUGGCAAGCGUUAUCCGGAUUUAUUGGGUGUAAAGGGCGUGUAGGCGGGAAAGCAAGUCAGAUGUGAAAACUCAGGGCUCAACCCUGAGCCUGCAUUUGAAACUGCUUUUCUUGAGUGCUGGAGAGG